GACGUAGGUGGCGAGCGUUGUCCGGAAUCACUGGGCGUAAAGGGUGCGUAGGCGGGUCUUUAAGUCAGGGGUGAAAUCCUGGAGCUCAACUCCAGAACUGCCUUUGAUACUGAAGAUCUUGAGUUCGGGAGAGGUGAGUGGAACUGCGAGUGUAGAGGUGAAAUUCGUAGAUAUUCGCAAGAACACCAGUGGCGAAGGCGGCUCACUGGCCCGAUACUGACGCUGAGGCACGAAAGCGUGGGGAGCAAACAGG
rnacentral:rRNA from 1 species